rnacentral:rRNA from 1 species
AGCGAACGCUGGCUGCAGGCCUAACACAUGCAAGUCGAACGAAGCCUUCGGGCUUAGUGGCGGCCGGGUGAGUAACACGUGGGAACGUACCCCUUGGUUCGGAAUAACGCAGAGAAAUUUGCGCUAAUACCGAAUGAGCCCUAAGGGGGAAAGAUUUAUCGCCGAAAGAGCGGCCCGCGUUGGAUUAGGUAGUUGGUGUGGUAAAGGCGAACCAAGCCUACGAUCCAUAGCUGGUCUGAGAGGAUGAUCAGCCACACUGGGACUGAGACACGGCCCAGACUCCUACGGGAGGCAGCAGUGGGGAAUCUUGCGCAAUGGGCGAAAGCCUGACGCAGCCAUGCCGCGUGAAUGAUGAAGGUCUUAGGAUUGUAAAAUUCUUUUACCAGGGACGAUAAUGACGGUACCUGGAGAAAAAGCCCCGGCUAACUUCGUGCCAGCCGCCGCGGUAAAAC